rnacentral:rRNA from 1 species
GACGAACGCUGGCGGCGUGCUUAACACAUGCAAGUCGAACGGUGAUGCUCCAGCUUGCUGGAGUGGAUCAGUGGCGAACGGGUGAGUAACACGUGAGCAACCUGCCCCAGACUCUGGAAUAAGCGCUGGAAACGGCGUCUAAUACUGGAUACGAAACUGGCCCGCAUGGGCAUUGUUUGGAAAGUUUUUCGGUUUGGGAUGGGCUCGCGGCCUAUCAGCUUGUUGGUGAGGUAAUGGCUCACCAAGGCGACGACGGGUAGCCGGCCUGAGAGGGCGACCGGCCACACUGGGACUGAGACACGGCCCAGACUCCUACGGGAGGCAGCAGUGGGGAAUAUUGCACAAUGGGCGAGAGCCUGAUGCAGCGACGCCGCGUGAGGGAUGACGUCCUUCGGGUUGUAAACCUCUUUCAGCAGGGAAGAAGCGAAAGUGACGGUACCUGCAGAAGAAGCACCGGCUAACUACGUG